UACGUAGGGUGCAAGCGUUGUCCGGAUUUAUUGGGUUUAAAGGGCGCGUAGGUGGCUUUUUAAGUCAUGGGUGAAAGCCCGCAGCUCAACUGUGGAAUUGCCUGUGAUACUGAGGAGCUGGAGUGCGGUUGAGGCAGCAGGAAUUGGUGGUGUAGCGGUGAAAUGCAUAGAUACCAGCAGGAACACCGAUUGCGAAGGCAGGUUGCUAAGCCGUAACUGACACUGAGGCACGAAAGCGUGGGGAGCAAACAGG
rnacentral:rRNA from 1 species